rnacentral:misc_RNA from 1 species
GGAGAUAAGACGAGAAUGGCCCAAAACCCCUUCUCUAAACCCAGGUCUGAUUUAGCUUCUUCAGUCUCCUUUAUUCAUUCUCUUCUUCUUAAUCCAGGCUUUGUUUUACUUGGACGAAAGCAACAAAGCAGCCAGACCCAGAAAACUCCAAUUCAAUGAGUUCGAAACAACAGAAAGGAGACCCAGUUUCUGCUCCAAAGGACAAAAGAGACGAGAAGAAAAUAAUGACAAUCGAAGGAUACCCAGUUGAGGGACUGUCCAUAGGAGGCCAUGAAACUUGCAUCAUUUUCCCUUCUCUCAAUUUGGCUUUCGAUAUUGGCCGUUGCCCACAACGCGCUAUCUCCCAGGACUUCCUCUUCAUUUCCCACGCCCACAUGGAUCACAUCGGAGGACUGCCCAUGUAUGUUGCAACACGUGGCUUAUACCGCAUGAAGCCUCCUACAAUCAUUGUGCCAACUUCCAUUAGAGAAACUGUGGAAGAACUCUUUGAAGUGCAUAGAAAACUGGAUGGAUCAGAACUAAAUCAUAAUCUGAUUGGUCUGGAUGUAGGAGAAGAGUUUUAUGUGAGAAGGGACCUUAAAGUAAGAGCAUUCAGGACGUACCAUGCAAUACAAAGCCAAGGUUAUGUGGUUUACUUUAUAAAACACAAACUUAAGCAAGAGUACUUUGGCCUUUCUGGGAAUGAGAUUAAGAACUUGAAGGCUUCAGGUGUGGAGGUUUGUCUUGACAGUCAUAAACAUCACUCCUCUAGAGUGUGUUUGUUCAUUUCUUUUUUAUUGUUUGUAACCUUACAAUUGCUGUUCUUUGAGAACCCACAUUUCCAGAUGUGCAAUCUUAAUUCUGCAUUGUAUGAGAGGAUUACAGAUAUGCAGAAGAGAUAGGCUUUUCGUUUGACAACUUGCAAGGCCAUUUGAAGACACAAGUAUUUCAUAAUAGGAAACCUCAUUGCACUGCAUUUUGAGGCAGAGAGUAUUCACAAAAUUUUGUGAAUUAUACAAUGCCCUUUGGAUUUAGUUAUUGGUGGUAGCAAUAUAUACACAGUUACACACAUCACUAUGAAACAUUUUAAGUGUGUCUGGAAGUGAUUUUGUUGUUUUAAUGAUCCAAGGUGAUCUUUAAAGAGCACGUUAUUGCUAAAGUGAAAUUCAAGCAUUCUAAAAGCUUCAGGCUGAUGAAUGUUUGCUGGGGUUGAAAAUAUCAUAUUCUUAAAGCUUUAUAUGUGCAUAUGUGCAUGCAUGUACACCCAAGAUUUUUUACAUUCCUCUUGGAUAUAUUACAUUCUAUAUUUUUAACAUUUUCAUUUCUGUGUCCUAAUUAAUAAUUUUUCUUGUACACCUUAAGGUUCAUUUUGUUGGUUGACAGAUUACUAACACUGUAACUUCACCUGAAAUUGCUUUUACGGGUGAUACAAUGUCUGACUUCAUAAUUGAUGAAAACAACAGCGAUGCUUUGAAGGCAAGGAUUCUUGUCAUGGAGGUGCAUCCUUUUGCUUAUAUCUGGAUUUGCAUUGACACUGGAAAAUUGAGAUGUAUUUUUUAUUUUCGGUCUUUAUUUCUCUCUUAGAAUUGGUGGAUUCAAAUUUAAAAUAAUUUUGUUCCCUGUUUUGUGUCCCAUAUGGUUGGUGUUUGAAGUAAAAUGCUGUUUCUGAGAUCGAAUUUCAAAAAUCCUCUAGGAAGUUGGCAUGUACAAGGAGCCAAUUCAUUUUCUAUUCUAAAUUUUAAGAGAAAUGUAGAAGAGGAGGGGUGAUGGGCGUUAUAUAAGCCAUGAUUGCCUUGGUGUCCACAACUUUGGAACAGUAACAGCAUAGCACUGUUAAAAUCAUACAUUUUGGGGGCAUCUUUAAAGUUGUUUCAGAUUUUAUCAUUCAGCAAAAGGCAGUUGAACUAAGACUAAAAACAUCAUGAUUGUUUCAUGUGUUACUCAGUACUCACCAUCCCCCUGUUUUGCACAGAGCACCUUUGUUGAAGACACAGUGAAAGUGGAGCAUGCGCGAGAUUAUGGGCACACUCAUCUAUCUGAGGUAAAGAUCCUUAUAUCGUUAUUAGAAAUUAUUGGUAGGAUCAUUAUAGUCCAGUGCUCUACAUGUGAGACCCCAUUCAUGUGAGAGAGAAAGCUUGCUUCAUAGAGAGUACGGAAUGAUCUGUUUAUAUCUUUACAGGGCUUUCUUUUGUUGCAUGCCUACAGUUACGUUUUUAAGCUCCUAACUUUUUCUUUGCUAUGUGCAUGAAUGAGAUCUUACAGAUAGCUAACUACGCAGACAAAUUUGAGAACAAAGCAAUACUUCUGAUUCAUUUCUCAGCUCGUUAUACAGUAGAGGUAUAUUUCUGACAGUUCCCUGCACUUAUUCUGGUGUACCUUUAUCUGAGUAUCAAGGAAUCAAAAAUUAAAAGAAAGAAGAAAAAGAUUAGAUGAUGUUGUCAAAUACUGGUUUGAAAGCUUAUGGCAUGCCUCUGUUGAAUAUUGUUUGAUAAUUGAUCAUAAUCUGCCGAAAUUAUGAUCUAUUUGCCUAGCCUUGACUUCUUGUCAUAUGAUGCCAUAUUUUCAUAGAAGCGUUUACAUUCUUUUUCUCUGGGUUUGCCAUUUUCCUUUCACAUUCCAACAAUCCCUUCCAUUUGAAUAUACCAAGUGUAUGAGAUUCCAAGCCUUGUUUUGUUUAAGAGAAUGUGGUCAUAUGAAGCUUUUUCAAUUUUAGCAUGUGAUUUCUCUGGGACUUCUUUGUCUUAACUAAGAUAACUAUUUGGACUUUUUGUUUUAUCAGGAGAUACAAGAAGCUGUAUCA